rnacentral:rRNA from 1 species
GAGUUUGAUCCUGGCUCAGAACGAACGCUGGCGGCGUGCCUAACACAUGCAAGUCGAACGUGAUCCAGAGCUUGCUCUGGUGAAAGUGGCGCACGGGUGAGUAACGCGUGGAUAACCUACCCUGGUAUCCGGGAUAACAUUCCGAAAGGGGUGCUAAUACCGGAUAAGCCCACGGGCUCUUUGGAGCUUGCGGGAAAAGGUGGCCUCUAUUUAUAAGCUACUGUAUCAGGAUGGGUCCGCGUACCAUUAGCUAGUUGGCGGUGUAACGGACCACCAAGGCGACGAUGGUUAGCUGGUCUGAGAGGAUGAUCAGCCACACUGGAACUGAGACACGGUCCAUACUCCUACGGGAGGCAGCAGUGGGGAAUAUUGCACAAUGGAGGAAACUCUGAUGCAGCAACGCCGCGUGGAGGAUGACGCAUUUCGGUGUGUAAACUCCUUUUAUAGGGGAAGAUAAUGACGGUACCCUAUGAAUAAGCACCGGCUAACUCCGUGCCAGCAGCCGCGGUAAUAC